rnacentral:rRNA from 1 species
UACGGGGGGAGCAAGCGUUGUUCGGAUUUACUGGGCGUAAAGGGCGCGUAGGCGGCGUGACAAGUCACUUGUGAAAUCUCCGGGCUUAACCCGGAGCGGCCAAGUGAUACUGUCGUGCUAGAGUGCGGAAGGGGCUACUGGAAUUCUCGGUGUAGCGGUGAAAUGCGUAGAUAUCUGGAGGAACACCGGUGGCGAAGGCGGCAUCCUGGACCAAUAUUGACGCUGAGGAGCGAAAGCCAGGGGAGCAAACGGG